rnacentral:lncRNA from 1 species
GAUUGGAGGAGGCGCAGCUGCUGCGGCUGCUGGGGGCGGAGCUUCGGCUGAGGGGCGGAGCCAAGGUCACGUGGGAGGAAACCCUGCGGGCGCUCAGCCCAGCCAAGAUGGCUGCCGAGAUGUGGGGGCUGCUCAGGGACCUGCGCUGGCUGCUGGAAGCAUGCGGCGCCCCAUUGGACGCUCCCGGUUCCCGCCUUUACCUUGCCGGCUCCCGAUUGGCUGAAGCCGUUCGGACCUUCUUGGGGGCGGGGCUAAAGGGACGCCCCACCCGUGGUGGCCACGCCCCUUCCGGCGGACGUGACGUCAUGGCGACGGCGAGGAUGCUAUUGGCUGGCCUGACUCUGCGCGCCGCCGACCCAUUGGCUGACGGCCACUUCCGGGGGGCGGAGCUCGAACACCUGGCUUUGUUACCGCGCCUUCUGGUUGGUCUACGCCUCCGGGGGGGGACUGGGGUGGGGAGGGGGCGGGGCUUAAGGGAGUGUGGGCGUGGCUUAAGGGAGAGUGGGCGGGGCUU